GAGGCCGGACCCACCCACUUCAAGCGGCCCGGGGAGUUACCCGCAGCUGCCGACGCGCUCGCCGUGCUGACCUGCGCCUGUACGGUCAGGGGUCAGGGUCUUUUUCUUUGGUGCUCUCCCGCUGGACCUUGCACUACCCUCCAGGGAGCCCUGGCCUCGCCUUCAACCCAAGACCCGCCCUUCUCUUUGUUAGAAUUCUGGUCCCCUCCCUGUCGGGACAUCCUGGCUGAGCUCCUUUCUCCGAACCAUUCCCCCCCCCCGCCCCCAUCCCCGUGAUGCUGUCUCAGUUAUGAGCUCAGCUGCUCUUAGGAGAAACGCUUCUCUAGGCUUUCUCAAUGGUACCCAGCUCCCCUAGCAGACUGUGUGGUCCAGGGGAACGGUUUCAUGGGCGAGAAAUGGCGCAGAUGCUGUGUUUUUGCUCUGGUUUACUCUUGAUAGUUUUGCUUUGUGUAAGAAGCUACAGCAGUAGCCAGAUCUCUCAUCUUCAUUCAGUAAGUGAUGCCCUCUGUCACAAAUUGCUGAUACCCAAAUCUGUGGAUAUUCCAAGUCUUUAAAUAAAGAGGCAUUGUACACACAA
rnacentral:lncRNA from 1 species